rnacentral:rRNA from 1 species
AUGGUUGAACGACAUCUGUUCAGAGAUUGGACACGGGCGAAUUUUCAGGUGCCGGACGAUCAUUUCAUCAAUACGGAAGACUGGUGGCUGCAAGCACGUAAGUUAGUUCCCAAGCCUAUGCGUCAGAACUUUGACACAAUCUCCAUCUUGAUUCACUGGAGGAUUUGGAAGGAAAGAAAUUCUAGAAUUUUUGAGCAGGAAGCGAGUAGUCCCUUCAAAGUUUUGGAUCGAAUCAUAGAAGAUAUUGGGAUAUGGAGGGCGGCCGGUUGUGUCACUAACACCGGCAACCUUUCUUCAGUUGCUGGUUUGCCCCCUUUUAGUUGUUUUGACGGCUGUUGCCGUCCUUUUGUAUUUUCGGAACGUCUCAGUUCCGUGGGUUCCCAGUUCUAG